CUUGGCGGCGUGAGGAGAGCUAUAUAAAAGGCCACCACCUUUGUCUCUCUCCUUCCAACUUCCAGCAACCAUUACAAGACGUAACCUUUCCUCUCGAUCAUCUGCGAUCUAUCACAUUGCUAGCUAUAGCUCCAUCUCGUCUAGCUUUUCUACAAGGCUACAUUUAGCUGCUCAUCGUGCGUGUGUAAUCGCAUCAUAUCGGUCACAAGGUACUGAUCUGAGAUAUAUAUAUGGCCGCGGCGGCGCCGAUGACGAUGACGAUGGCAAUGAGGGCAGUACUGGUGGCCGUCGUGCUGAUGCAGUGCUGCAACGUGAUCGUGGCGGCGAGGCCGUUGCUGGAAGCACCGGCGGUAGCGGCGACGACAGCAGACGGCGGCUGGCUGAGGAUGAUCAUGCAGGUGCUACGCGGGCCGGGCGGCAACAACACCGGCUGCCAAGCUCCCAACGGAUCGUGCCGCUGAUAAGAUAAACUAGCUAGCCGGCAAGCAGCUCGCGUCCUGGCCACCCGUAAACGUAACUAGCCGGCCGGCCGGCCGGGGCGGCGGCGGCGCCUCGAUGAACUGCGGCAUGCAUGCCCAUCGUUCGAUCAGGGCCGCCGCUCAGCCCAGCCGGCGGCCGGCUCGCAGCAUGACGGGUCGUCGGUCUAUUUUUGAUCAAUUCUGUUGAUAGUAACGGUCAACUAACCUGUACAUGCGUAUGUGUAGUUGUUGCGUAAAGGACAUUUCAUUCGUUCUUUCUGAAAGAUAGCUAGCUAGCUAGCUAGUUGUUCCGAAAUUGUAAUUGUUACUAUUAAUUCAAUGCAAAAAUACAUGGAGUCUUA
rnacentral:lncRNA from 1 species